rnacentral:lncRNA from 1 species
GUAGAAGCUAUGCUGCAAUGUCACAACACUUGAGUCAAUGGGUAUGGUUUAGGAAGCUUUUCGUUUCAUUUUCAAGUUAUACAUAUGUAAACACUUUGAAGAAGAUUAACAAAUAGGCGAUCAUCUACGAAGAUUUUUGCAAUCGAUUAGUAGCUGUUCAUUUUUUAUAAGUUUAUUGAUCAGUGUUGAUAAGCACUUUUUUAGUUAUACAUAUGACCUGUUUUCUAAGAUUAUUGUAUAAUAGAUUCCGAUUAAUAUAGCAUCCAGUGUAUGCAUUAUGUAACCUGGUAGCGCCGGAUACACUUUUAUUUGUUUGGAAUCUACGCUCGUUGAAACCAUGGGUGUGGGUUGGUGUUUCUGUCUUCAACAAGUGUGCAAUAUUAGCAGCUUGUUUGAUUUUGAAUUUUUGAUCAUGUAUAUUCUGAUU